rnacentral:rRNA from 1 species
UGGGGAAUAUUGGACAAUGGGCGCAAGCCUGAUCCAGCAAUGCCGCGUGUGUGAAGAAGGCCUUCGGGUUGUAAAGCACUUUUAUCAGGAGCGAAACGCUGUCGGCUAAUACCCGGCGGAACUGUCGGUACCUGAGGAAUAAGCACCGGCUAACUUCGUGCCAGCAGCCGCGGUAAUACGAAGGGUGCAAGCGUUAAUCGGAAUUACUGGGCGUAAAGCGUGCGUAGGCGGUUUCUUAAGUCUGCUGUGAAAUCCCCGGGCUCAACCUGGGAAUGGCAGUGGAUACUGGGAGGCUAGAGUGUGUCAGAGGGUGGUGGAAUUCCCGGUGUAGCGGUGAAAUGCGUAGAGAUCGGGAGGAACAUCAGUGGCGAAGGCGGCCACCUGGGACAACACUGACGCUGAGGCACGAAAGCGUGGGGAGCAAACAGGAUUAGAUACUCUGGUAGUCCACGCCCUAAACGAUGCGAACUGGAUGUUGGUCUCAACUCGGAGAUCAGUGUCGAAGCUAACGCGUUAAGUUCGCCGCCUGGGGGAGUACGGUCGCAAGACUGAAACUUAAAUGAAUU